UACUCCAAGAAAGAGAAUGAAGCAUAGGGACAUAAUAAAUCUUGUUAGUAUUUAGCUUUCAAAAGGGUCUGGAAGGCUGCCUGGUGACAUGGAUUCCUUCUAGGUUUAACGCAGGUUCGAUUAGCCAGGAAAUCAUUGUCGUUUUCUAGGGAGCCAGACCACAGAUCCACAAAAUCCACAGAAGACGAGAGCAGGCAGCACGGCUCUUGUCCGCGGGUUUCUGGGGGAAGCGCUGCAGUCGGCCCCGGGACGCCCAGGCUCAGCGGUCGGUGCCCCGAGCAAGGCUGCGCCUAUGGAAAGCGGGUAAAUCCUCAGCAGGACCAGAUGAAAAAGACCUUCAGGUCCCUGACUUAACUUCCUACAGACCUAAAUCUGCUCUCGGAUCAUGAUGCACUUCAGUGCCUCAUCUGACAAGUUUGGUUGCAGCCAAGCAAAGACAAAUGAUGCAGAAGUGAUACCAGCACGUUCCCUGCACAUACAGAAGGUACCACCCAACCUGGAGACACCCAAAUCUCUCCCCGCGGUGCGGACCUGAGUCUCCGCUGUCCUGGGAGCACGUUUUACCAUCUCACCUGGCUGCGACUUCUCGGAAACAGAAGUGGAUAAUGAGACUGUUCCCAUCUCUACUGCACCGAGCAGUGCGGGCCAGAGGGCUGCACAGGGGGGAACGUGUGACAUUACAGUUGUCACCUCUUCUUGCCAGCGCAAAGGCGACAAAUAGAUCAGAUCCUUUAUUCCCCCUUUUGACCACAUUUGAUUUAUUUUUUUCCAAAUAGCAAAUACAACAUGUCCACGUUUUGUUUACAGAGAGUGGAGACUGCACGCCAGAUUUCAGUUGUGAAAAGUGGCUCAGAUGUUAUUAGUACUUGACUACAAGUUUACAACUGGUCCCCAAACCUCCUCAAAGCUUCAGGAACUUGUAUCGUUAAUGCAAAACUGAUAAGUGAAAUGACAAAUUAGGUCCUAACACAUUUUUAAGCUCCACAUUUGAACUUUUAUUAUUGUCACAAUCACUGUGUAUAUAGACUUAAGAAUUCUUUUCUUCAAAUCCUCUGAUCUACCAAGUUCUUAAACAAAUAUAUUAAUCUCAAAUCCUCUUGCUUUCUAAAUGCCAUUUCAGGUAGAAGAAAAUAAUUUGAAAAGUGAAUCAGAAAAGAAAGACCACAAGCUCUGAGGAAGAAGCAUAGCACUAUUAUUUUAUAUAUGUAUGUAUGUAUAUCUUUUUAAGCUAAACCUGAAGUAGACUAGCUUAGGCCACUUCAGGAUGACAUCAAAACCAACAGUGAUCAGAAUUUGGUUGAAACGUCUCCAUUAUGGCCAAGCUCCAUUAGUUCUGCUGAACAGCGACUUACAUCAUGGAGGGAGGUAAUUUACAAUUUAUAACCAUCAUAGUUUGUAGUGCACAAGUGACCACAUGGCCAUUCCUUCAAAACACCAAGAUAAAUCACGAGAAAAAUCAAAGGCGUGUUUAAGGUUUGAUGACAAAUGACUACUAGCAAACAUUUACUGCAAUAAAUUGUUGUUAAAAACAGAGAUUAUGGAAAAAUGCUUAACAAAGGUGAUUUUUCCAUUGCUUCUCUUAAGUGCAUGGACCACCAAGCUUCAUUUAAUCCUUUCUAAUUCUGAGCAAUAUAAUUAUGGCAAAUAAUGGUGAAUGAAUCACAUGCCUGUACAGGAGUACCACAGCCAUUGUGGCAUUCAGAUGAAUGCUGUGUCAGAGGAUUAAUGCGGCAUAAUGCCGCAUUUGCUUUUGCAGCCUGUUAUUUUAAUCUUGUGAGCUGCCUUUCAUCAAGGUGGGGGAAUACAGUAAGGUUACUGUUGGUCUCAGGCAUCCGCAGAGGAUGCUGUGUGACAUCCACGUCCUUCAGUCCUACAGGCGACUUCUGGCACCUUCCAAAAGUCUUGUUCUGUGCAUUAAUGGAAGGAGAGAGAACUCGCCUGUGCUAGGGAAAAGUUGGCAGAUGAAGGAACAGCACAAGAGAGGCCACUGUGCCAACGAGUUACUUAGUUCUGAGUAUGUGCACCCAAGAAUUCACAGGGUCCUGAAACUGCAGAGGCAGCAAAUCACUGACCCGUCCCUGCAGCUCGGGCAGCAGAGACCCAGCAAUGGCCAGAUCUGGUCUACAAAGCAGAAACAAGCCUUCUAGCACUGUCUUGCCUUGACAGAGCUCCAUCCUCCAUCCACUCUCUGGGCUGAGGCCUCCAGCACCACGCUGACCAGCACGAACUUCAACAUGGAGCAGCCUGGUCCCCAUCAGCACAGACUCUUCUUGCCAAACAACGGGAGCAUUUCGAAGUGCGAGAAUUGUGCAUUUAGUUAUUCUUCCUAUUAAAUGCCCACCUGUGUACUCCCCACUCACCACCUCUGCAGAAAGAAAAGCAGCAUGGGACUGUGAACAUUGUUCAGAAGCAAAUACUACUUCCCCAAGCCACCGCCCAAUACACAAAAGGAAUUCAGAACACACAGCAGAUCAGAAAAAUUCUAUUAAAUUCUUCCCAUUAUAUUUUCUAAAACAAGAUGGAGCAGUGCCAAAAUACCUAAACAAAGCACUUUUUUUCAUGCGAUUUCCAUCCCACUGAGAAGUAAUAAGUCCUGGAGAUCCUAUAAAGAAACCUGUUCUUGAACAAUUUACUGCCCAGAUUUAUAGGUCCAAGAAACGAGGAUGGUUCAGAUUAGCUUCAUCUGUUCUCAGGAGUUCUUCUCCAAACGAAGCCCGAGCCAGAUUUUUUUCCCCAGUUAGCUGCUCUUUUCCACUGGUUGGGUUGUGUGAAGGUGAUGGAAAGUGGCCACAACUGCAUCUUGGAGAAUCCCCCCAACUAUGAAGAAGUCUCCAACUGCUUUGAAUCACUGGGAUCUCUUCUCCCACUUCAACGGCAGAGGAAGGACACGAAGCACCCCAGAGAGCUCUGCUAAACCACUUCAUGGCCGGCGCCCAGGGCCUGACCCGCUCCAGUCGCUCUGGGGUCAGCGCUACGGAGCCCGCACAUCUGAGAGCAUCAUCCGGUGGUGAACGCGCAGCAGGAGCUGAGGGGUUUGGGUGGGUGGGG